CAAAGACUCGAUGGUUCACGG
rnacentral:siRNA from 1 species